UGAUUUCCCUAGUAACGGCGAGUGAAGAGGAAAGAGCUCAAAGUUGGAAACUGUUUGGCUUAGCUAAACCGUAUUGUAAACUGUAGAAACAUUUUCCUGGCACACCAGAUUAAUAAGUCCUUUGGAACAAGGCAUCAUGGAGGGUGAGAAUCCCGUCUUUGAUCUGAGUAGUUGUCUUUUGUGAUAUGUUUUCAAAGAGUCAGGUUGUUUGGGAAUGCAGCCUAAAUUGGGUGGUAAAUCUCACCUAAAGCUAAAUAUUUGCGAGAGACCGAUAGCGAACAAGUACCGUGAGGGAAAGAUGAAAAGAACUUUGAAAAGAGAGUUAAACAGUAUGUGAAAUUGUUAAAAGGGAACCGUUUGGAGCCAGACUGGUUUGCUUGUAAUCAACCUAGAAUUCGUUUUGGGUGCACUUGCAGGCUAUACCUGCCAACAACAGUUUGAUUUGGAGGAAAAAAUUAAUAGGAAUGUAGCCUCUCGAGGUGUAUAGCCUACUAUCAUACUCUGGAUUGGACUGAGGAACGCAGCGAUGCCUUAGGCAGAUUGCUGGGUGCUUUCGCUAAUAAAUGUUAGAAUUUCUGCUUCGGGUGGUGCUAAUGUUUAAAGGAGGAACACAUCUAGUAUAUUUUUUAUU
rnacentral:rRNA from 1 species